rnacentral:misc_RNA from 1 species
GAUGAAGAACGCAGCGAAAUGCGAUAAGUAAUGUGAAUUGCAUAAUUCAGUGAAUCAUCGAAUCUUUGAACGCACAUUGCGCCCGCCAGUAUUCUGGCGGGCAUGCCUGUUCGAGCGUCAUUUCAACCAUCAAGCCCCAGGCUUGUGUUGGGGACCUGCGGCUGCCGCAGGCCCUGAAAACCAGUGGCGGGCUCGCUGUCACACCGGGCGUAGUAGAUUUUAUCUCGCUCAGGGCGUGCUGCGGGUUCCGGCCGUUAAUAAGCCUUUUUUACCCAAGGUUGACCUCGGAUCAGGUAGGAAUACCCGCUGAACUUAAGCAUAUCAAUAAGCGGAGGA